rnacentral:rRNA from 1 species
UACGAAGGGGACUAGCGUUGUUCGGAUUUACUGGGCGUAAAGCGCGCGUAGGCGGAUCGCUAAGUCAGGGGUGAAAUCCCAGGGCUCAACCCUGGAACUGCCUUUGAUACUGACGAUCUGGAGAUCGGGAGAGGUUGGUGGAAUUCCGAGUGUAGAGGUGAAAUUCGUAGAUAUUCGGAGGAACACCAGAAGCGAAGGCGGCCAACUGGCCCGAUACUGACGCUGAGGCGCGAAAGCGUGGGUAGCAAACAGG